rnacentral:rRNA from 1 species
UGGGGAAUCUUGCGCAAUGGGCGAAAGCCUGACGCAGCAACGCCGCGUGAACGAUGAAGGCCUUCGGGUCGUAAAGUUCUGUCAGGGGGGACGAAUAUUGACGGUACCCCCGGAGGAAGCCCCGGCUAACUACGUGCCAGCAGCCGCGGUAACACGUAGGGGGCGAGCGUUGUCCGGAAUUACUGGGCGUAAAGGGCGUGUAGGCGGCCGAUCAAGUCAGGUGUGAAAUUUCAGGGCUCAACCCUGAACGUGCACUUGAAACUGGUAGGCUUGAGUGCAGAAGAGGAAAGUGGAAUUCCCAGUGUAGCGGUGAAAUGCGUAGAUAUUGGGAGGAACACCAGUGGCGAAGGCGACUUUCUGGUCUGUAACUGACGCUGAGGCGCGAAAGCUAGGGGAGCAAACAGG